GCGGGCGUGGCGGAAUUGGCAGACGUGCUAGAUUUAGGCUCUAGUGGUGUAAACCGUGCAAGUUCAAGUCUUGUCGCCCGCA
rnacentral:tRNA from 1 species